AAAAAAAAGUCAGUGUCACCUGCAGCUGUGACAGCCGUACAGUGCAGCAGCGUAUGUGCUGAAAGAUUCCAAGAAAAAAAGAGAUUGUGCAAGGGGAUGCUUUGAGGACCAAAUUCUGACCUCCUGCAGUGUUUCUCAUGGCCACAAAUCCACCUGAACUGGGUAUGAAAUACAAGAAGAUUCCAACAUGUAUGUUGUGGUGUGUAACUGGUUACUGUGAUGCGCAACAUCAACAUUACAAUGGAGCAUCCUCAAAUAAGCAUGGCUAAUGAGUAAAGUAGUUCCACUAAGAGAAUACCAGAUCCUGUUCUACCAAAUGAUGAUCAAACCAGUAAAGGUUAAUAAGAAAUGAUGUUAGAAGCGUUCUUGAAAUGAAUUAUGUAAGCUAAACUGCUGUGGCGGCAAUGCCUGUCUCCUCAACAGUGUGAGUCCUGUUUCAUGAGGACACUGCUCAGCAUAGUGCUGUGUUAAAAUGAGCAUUUGGGAUUGAGAAGUAUUGUCUUGGCAGUGAGCACCACCAAGAUGCAACUGUUGAUCUUACUACAAUAUGCACUGGCAGGAGUAAAAGAAUGUGCUCACAGCAGUUUUCUAAACAUCAGGAGGUGCAGCAUUGGCAGCAGUGUAAUGAAAUAAGGCAAUUUUGUGUGUCAUUGCCUAUGAAUUCAAGCAUUUUUGUACAUUACCAACGGAUGAAGGCCAUCUCUUAAAAACAAAAUACACAGUAUAUUCAUUUAUGUUAUGUUUUCUGGUAUACUUAAUGAGGUGACACAAGAAAAG